rnacentral:rRNA from 1 species
UUUACAAUCUUACUGUAUUGCAAUGAGGAAAAUUUAAAAACCUUAUCGAGGAACAAGUGGAGGGCAAGUCUGGUGCCAGCAGCCGCGGUAAUUCCAGCUCCACUAGCGUAUAUUAAAAUUGUUGCAGUUAAAAAGCUCGUAGUUGAACCUCUGGCUGUGUGCUGUUCUGGACUUGUUCAAGCAGCAUGCAGUCAUCCAUCUGCAAACCUUCUCGGGCAUUCAGUUGUUCGGUUAGGAGAGUAGAUAUUUUACUGUGAAAAAAUUAGAGUGUUUAAGGCAGACAAUGGUUUGAAUACAUUAGCAUGGAAUAAUAGAACAGGACACUCGUUCAUUUCGUUGGUUAUUGGACUUGUGUAAUGAUUAAUAGGGACAGUUGGGGGCAUUUGUAUUUAAUUGUCAGAGGUGAAAUUCUUGGAUUUAUUAAAGACAAACUUAUGCGAAAGCAUUUGCCAAGGAUGUUUUCAUUAAUCAAGAACGAAAGUUAGGGGAUCAAAGACGAUCAGAUACCGUCCUAGUCUUAACUAUAAACUAUUCCGACUCGGUUUUGGCAUGGCGCAUAUAACCAUGUCAGCGCCGUAUGAGAAAUCAAAGUUACGGUUCCGGGGGGAGUAUGGUCGCAAGACUGAAACUUAAAGGAAUUGACGGAAGGGCACGCAAGGUGUGGAGCCUGCGGCUUAAUUUGACCCAACACGGGGAAACUUACCAGGUUAAAACAUUGGUGGGAUUGACAGAUUGAGAGCUCUUUCUUGAUUCAAUGGGUGGUGGUGCAUGGCCGUUCUUAGUUCGUGGAGUGAUUUGUCUGCUUAAUUGCGAUAACGCGACGAGACCAUUACCUGCUUACUAGACUCGUGAUUUGCAUCGCGAGCUCUUCUUAGAGGGACUUUGGAAUUUCAAUUCCAAGGAAGUUGGUGGCAAUAACAGGUCUGUGAUGCCCCUAGACAUCCUGGGCCGCACGCGUUCUACAAUGAUGCAUUCAGAAAGUUUUCCUGGCCUGAAAAGGUUUCGGGUAAUCUUGAAAAUAUGCAUCGUGAUAGGGAUAGAUCUUUGCAAUUAUAGAUCUUGAACGAGGAAUACCUUGUAAGUGCAAGUCAUCAGCUUGUACUGAAUCGGUCCCUGCCUUUUGUACACACCGCCCGUCGCUUCUACUGACGAAUGCUCCGGUGAACCUUCUGGACUGUGUCGGGUCUCGGCCCGACCGGGAAGUUAUGUAAACCAAUGCAUUUGGAAGAAGAAGUAGUCGUAACAAGGU